rnacentral:sRNA from 1 species
GAGUUUCGUUUGUUUAUAUCGUUGAUGGUGUUGCUUUGUGUUCUGAGUCUCCCUACCAUGCACAUCUACAUCUUGUUAAGGUUCAACUUUAGUUUGGCAUUGUUGGGCAUGCGCCGCCAACCACACUCGGCGAUUGUUUUCUUUUUUGGUGUGCAGCAUCAGCAUUGCCAUUGCUGCAACCGCCUGCCUUCGUCAUCGUUGUCUCGAAUUCAUUCAAUUCUUGGAAUUCGAAUGUUGCAUUUGAUGAGAAAAAAAUGCUCAUAAGUAAAUGGCCUUUCCCAUCUUGUUUGAAUUGAUUAGAGAGAACAGCAACAACAACAACAGCAGCAGCAUAGCCCAGAGAAAAACUAUUCGGUUGUUUUUGUUUUUCUUUUUUCGGCAUUGUUUUUCUAUACAUUUUAUCAUAGAUGACGACCUUUGUGGCGUUUUCUUACAAUAUGGCCCAGCAUACCUUUGGGCCCCGUUAACAAUGUAAUUUCUCUUUAAAGCCCCAAAGUGUCUCUAGAAUUCCUUGCCCGCUGCAUUUGCCAAAAGGCGUCGCACACACCAACUGAAUAUGGGAAAGAGUUAACAAUAAAUCGAUUCAAAUUAUCUUUUUGAUGAAAGCCGCCGCCGCUGCCGCAACUAUGCUGUUAUCACAAAACCAACAAGAAAAUCGUGAGCAGGAGCCAGAGGGGGAGUAGUAAAUGGUUGGCGCUCAAGUGAUCUAUUUUGACGGGUUAUUUAGAGGUGAUUGAAAAAAAAGCAGCACCCAAUCAAAUUUAAAUUUCUCCCUCCCACCUCGAACAAUACCAACAAAAGUGGAUAAUUUUAAAAAGUUUACAAUUGCAAGCUCUUUUUAAACCAAAAUACUAACGAAUGGGGGCACCGACCCAACAAAUAUUAUAUACAUUUUGAUCGUCGUAUUUAUUUGUAACGUAGGCAGGGUAAGUUCGAUCUGACAAUGCACGGAAACGGAAUGUCAAAAGCUGCACAAACACAACAGAUGACAACGGCAUACUCCACACGACUGACCCAAUAACUGGAUGAAAGCACUUCUCGUCUGGCACUUGGUAAACUAUUCCCCAAAAUCCAAACAUGGUUAUCAAAAGUAUCCGCCAAAAAAUCCAUAGUAAGACCAGUACCGCAAUUCUGUAACUUAUAACGAACAUCGUUUAGUUAAAUAAAUGUCGACAAGAAACUCGUUUGCACUAA